UAUACUCAUGUAUGUGUGUUUACAUGUAUGAAUAAAGGUAUUCUUUUAUUUGCAUUUUAAACUACAUUAAAUUCUUUCCAAUACCCUGAUCGUUUCAGUUUUUGCGGCAACAGCAACAUUAUGCAUAAACAUACAUAUGUACAUGUUUAUAUGUCAUUGAACAAAAACACAAACUUACAUUUGUAUAUGCGUGCACGUAAGUUCGUCAACCACAAAAAAUCAAAAGCAAUGUUCUACAAAAAAAAAACAAGCGCCAAAAAUUUAUGUCGAUAUGUUUGCAUGCUCAUACAUAUUCAUACAUAUUUACGACAAGCCGAUUUUCUACCAACAACGCAAUGUAGCGCCGCGCAGGCGGCCAUGAAUUUUUCGACACAUCGACAGAGUCGUUUCAAUUGAUUCCUCCGUAAUUAUAAAUGCUCAAAAUAUGUAUUGGAUAGUAUGGACUUACUAUUAGCAAAUAUAAAUAAUUAAAUGUAUUUAAAUAUUCUACUAAUAUAUGAUGCCAAUUAUUAAUGUACUACAAUUGAUUUUAGUAAGAAUCAAGACAUAGAACAAUCCAUAAUAAUAUGAGUUGGGGACAUGGACCUCUUUGCCUGCGAAAACGCGACACUGAUUGCAAGUCUGUGACAAAAAAAUUACUAUUUGCGGUCAUUCGUUGUCCGUGGCAACGAAGAUUUUACAAGAAAUGUACUACAAGUACACAUAUUUACACACAUAUGCAUGUAAACAAAUUUGCGAACAUUAUGCGUAUGGUUCUUUUGAUUUUUUCUUUCGUUUCUGUUUCAUUUCUGUGAACUCUCAACUAGUUUAUGUGACUUUUAGUUGAAAUUCUCUGCGUUUGCCGUUGAAAAGUUAAGACUAUGCUUCACAGGAUAAUUUCUUGUAGUCAGUCUUCAUGUACUUUCUUUGCAAAUCGAAAGUAUUACUUUUGGUUGGUGACAUAUGUAUGUAUUACAUAUUCACAUGUGUAUGACAUAUUCACAUGUCAUGUUUAUACGUGUGUGCACAGCAAAGGAGGACCAAGGAGGUGACGGUGAAAUUGGUGGAGGUUUUUGGAUUUAGAAUUGGUGCAAUAGAUAUCAACAACAACAACGCAGAAAACAGUGGAAAAUAACAUGGCAUGAUGAACAAGACAACAACAAAUCACAUCGGACAUUUAGAUUAGCAGUUGCACAACCUCUUUCCGACGAGCUGAACCCUUUUAUGAUGUACAUAUGGGAGAUGAUUGUUUGGAAUUGACAACAAACAAUAUUGGUUGAUUAGUUUCGUUGGAUCCUUACAGGAUAGUUAUAAGGAAAUCGUUCGCGUUUAGUACUAAUGUAUUCAUUUGCUAAUACAUAAUUUAAAUGUAAAAUAUUAUUAAAUUAUACAAAUGAAUGUUCGAAUACUAAUAACAGUCGUAAUAGUAGUUUAAUUUUAUUUGUAUUGUAUAAAAAACAACUACAAAAAAUUAAAAUUUAAUAAUUAAUACUAACUUUAUUUGUAAAAUAUGUAAAUUUUGUCAAUGUAUAAAUGAUAGCUGCAAAAACGUUUGUAAAAAUGAAAGUUCACUUUGUACUGAAA